UACGUAGGUGGCAAGCGUUGUUCGGAAUUAUUGGGCGUAAAGGGCGCGUAGGCGGCAUGUUAAGUCGGCUGUGAAAGCCUGGGGCUCAACCCCAGAGGGUCGGCCGAUACUGGCAAGCUAGAGUACGGAAGAGGUAGCUGGAAUUCCCGGUGUAGCGGUGAAAUGCGCAGAUAUCAGGAAGAACACCCGUGGCUAAGGCGGUUCUCUAGUACGGUACUGACGCUGAGACGCGAAAGCGUGGGGAGCGAACAGG
rnacentral:rRNA from 1 species